AUUGAACGCUGGCGGCAGGCCUAACACAUGCAAGUCGAGCGGAACGGCGGACGGGUGAGUAAUGCCUAGGAAUCUGCCUGGUAGUGGGGGAUAACGUCCGGAAACGGGCGCUAAUACCGCAUACUAUCAGAUGAGCCCAGGUCGGAUUAGCUAGUUGGAGGGGUAACGGCCCACCAAGGCGAUGAUCCCUAGCUGGUCUGAGUGGAUGACCAGCCAAACGGGAACUGAGAAACGGUCCAGACGCCUACGGGAGGCAGCAGUGGGGAAUAUUGCACAAUGGGCGCAAGCCUGAUGCAGCCAUGCCGCGUGUAUGAAGAAGGCCUUCGGGUUGUAAAGUACUUUCAGCGGGGAGGCGUUACCCGCAGAAGAAGCACCGGCUAACUCCGUGCCAGCAGCCGCGGUAAUUC
rnacentral:rRNA from 1 species